AGAGUUUGAUCCUGGCUCAGGACGAACGCUGGCGGCGUGCCUAAUACAUGCAAGUCGAGCGGACAGAUGGGAGCUUGCUCCCUGAUGUUAGCGGCGGACGGGUGAGUAACACGUGGGUAACCUGCCUGUAAGACUGGGAUAACUCCGGGAAACCGGGGCUAAUACCGGAUGGUUGUCUGAACCGCAUGGUUCAGACAUAAAAGGUGGCCUCGGCUACCACUUACAGAUGGACCCGCGGCGCAUUAGCUAGUUGGUGAGGUAACGGCUCACCAAGGCGACGAUGCGUAGCCGACCUGAGAGGGUGAUCGGCCACACUGGGACUGAGACACGGCCCAGACUCCUACGGGAGGCAGCAGUAGGGAAUCUUCCGCAAUGGACGAAAGUCUGACGGAGCAACGCCGCGUGAGUGAUGAAGGUUUUCGGAUCGUAAAGCUCUGUUGUUAGGGAAGAACAAGUGCCGUUCAAAUAGGGCGGCACCUUGACGGUACCUAACCAGAAAGCCACGGCUAACUACGUGCCAGCAGCCGCGGUAAUACGUAGGUGGCAAGCGUUGUCCGGAAUUAUUGGGCGUAAAGGGCUCGCAGGCGGUUUCUUAAGUCUGAUGUGAAAGCCCCCGGCUCAACCGGGGAGGGUCAUUGGAAACUGGGGAACUUGAGUGCAGAAGAGGAGAGUGGAAUUCCACGUGUAGCGGUGAAAUGCGUAGAGAUGUGGAGGAACACCAGUGGCGAAGGCGACUCUCUGGUCUGUAACUGACGCUGAAGAGCGAAAGCGUGGGGAGCGAACAGGAUUAGAUACCCUGGUAGUCCACGCCGUAAACGAUGAGUGCUAAGUGUUAGGGGGUUUCCGCCCCUUAGUGCUGCAGCUAACGCAUUAAGCACUCCGCCUGGGGAGUACGGUCGCAAGACUGAAACUCAAAGGAAUUGACGGGGGCCCGCACAAGCGGUGGAGCAUGUGGUUUAAUUCGAAGCAACGCGAAGAACCUUACCAGGUCUUGACAUCCUCUGACAAUCCUAGAGAUAGGACGUCCCCUUCGGGGGCAGAGUGACAGGUGGUGCAUGGUUGUCGUCAGCUCGUGUCGUGAGAUGUUGGGUUAAGUCCCGCAACGAGCGCAACCCUUGAUCUUAGUUGCCAGCAUUCAGUUGGGCACUCUAAGGUGACUGCCGGUGACAAACCGGAAGAAGGUGGGGAUGACG
rnacentral:rRNA from 1 species